rnacentral:tRNA from 1 species
GGGGAGAUUCCAGAGCGGCCAAAUGGGCCAGACUGUAAAUCUGGUGGCUCACGCCUUCGCAGGUUCGAAUCCUGCUCUCCCCA